GAUGAACGCUGGCGGCGUGCCUAACACAUGCAAGUCGAGCGAUUCUCUUCGGAGAAGAGCGGCGGACGGGUGAGUAACGCGUGGGUAACCUGCCCUGUACACGCGGAUAACAUACCGAAAGGUAUGCUAAUACGAGAUAAUAUGCUUUUAUCGCAUGGUAGAAGUAUCAAAGCUUUUGCGGUACAGGAUGGACCCGCGUCUGAUUAGCUAGUUGGUAAGGUAACGGCUUACCAAGGCGACGAUCAGUAGCCGACCUGAGGGGGUGAUCGGCCACAUUGGAACUGAGACACGGUCCAAACUCCUACGGGAAGCAGCAGUGGGGAAUAUUGCACAAUGGGCGAAAGCCUGAUGCAGCAACGCCGCGUGAGCGAUGAAGGCCUUCGGGUCGUAAAGUUCUGUCCUCAAGGAAGAUAAUGACGGUACUUGAGGAGGAAGCCCCGGCUAACUACGUG
rnacentral:rRNA from 1 species